CAAAAAUAGCCAAAAAUAAGAUUAGCCCCCUCCUGAUUUUUAACUGCCCCCUCAGUCACUUCGUCCUGCCGCCGGGCCUGGCAUGCACUACAUUAAAAUAGUUUAUCACCGCAAAUAAAAUGUUUAUGUUCUCUAAAUGUGAGGAAGGGUACACUUAGAAAGGUAUUACCUGCUGUUGUUCAUCCCAUUCAUUUUCUUAUAUUCCAUUAAGUUUAAAAUGAUUAGAUUAGUUGUAGAACUAGGUCUUUUUUAUCUGGAUCAAGUCAAGUUGCCCGCAGAAUAUGGAGCCUAAAUAUUUCAGUUUCCUUUAUGUCUUUUAGGUUAACCCAAAAGGGAUUUGGUAACACCAGCAACAUUUCCCAGAAAGCUUUGCUACAAGAAGUUUGUUUUAAUAUCCUCUGGUCUCAAAUUGAUUACAUUGUUUUAUCUUAAAAAGUCAUUCAUUAUCUUUAUUUUCCUAACCUAAUCCAACUUUUAAGUGGUUAGAUUUAUUGCACCCAUUACAGAGCUUGUUUUAAUUGAUGUAGUUUACCUGAUUUUGUUCCUUAAGCAAUUCUUUGCUCAUUCAGUCAUUUUGAGUGUGUGUUGCAGGUGAUAAAAUGUUGCAUUAGUUGGCUACUCUCAGUUGGAAAUACAGUAUUUUUUGGUGCCUUUCAGGACCCGCUCCCUGAUCAUUUGGGGGUUUCUAGAGCAGUCAGCCACUUACAGUUAAAACCCAACAAGCAUGCUUGCUGUGAGUCCCCAUGCAUUUACAUGCACUAAACAGCAUGAAUUAAUUUAUCACACAUUAGAUGUAAGCGUCUCAUUUAUGUUAGUACAACAACCAUGUCUUUGUCAGUGACAAACACACUUAUGGGUGAGUAUCACUCACAUGUAUGUAUAAAGGCAUACUGGGAUAUAUGCAAAUGAGACUGUACAGAAUCAACACUAAUUAAUGAACAUACAAAAUACAGGUUAAACCCAAUUGACUGGUUUACAUUGGGAUAACCGAUAAAAUGGAAGUUUGAAUCAUUACCUUAAUUUCAGGUAGGAUCAGUGUUAAAUUUUUUUAGUGUACAGGUCAUACCUCCACACUCCGAGGCUGCCUAUAACCACUGACUGAAGAACUCAAUAGCUGCUUCUCCAUGAACUGAUACGUGUAGGCCAGCUGUUUGAAGGCCACGUACCAUCCUGUCUAUUAACACGGCCCAGACACCAGAAUGUCAGGAUGGUUAAGUUAGCACUGAAAACCAAGACGGUUCCCUGGACUAACCCAAUGUUUUGACACUUAAGGAUCUUGGGGGUAUUUUAGAAAGCAGGGUUAACAUGCUCUAAGUAGGAACCACAACUCUGGCUUGACUGACUCUGAAUAGGUGGUAAAAAUGAGUUCAGUCAACUCUGAGUUAAGGUAACCCGGACACGAGGAGAUAAAAAGCCUCAUCAAUGGAACGCAGAUAAUGUGAUUCAUCAUGGCAACAGGAGAAAAAGGUCUCGGACCACGUUCUUCUUCCCAGUGGAGUUAGAUAUAUUAAUGAAUACACAUGCAGAAUAUGAGUAUAUAUGCAAGAAAAGCAAUACAGUAUCAGCAGCAAAAGAACGUGAGCUAGCGUGGCAGAGAUGCUGACCAAGACAAUGCAUGAGUAUUAACUGGAAAAACAAAGUCACAUCUCGAGUCUUCCACUACAGUUUUUUUUAUUCGCUUUGGUACUAUUAUCGCAAGUAUGUGGCAAAACCUCACAACUGUUAGUACAAAACUCAAAGCAGAUCAUGAAAAAGUUAUUUUUUCCAAACAUGUAAUCACAUGUUCAAUUGACUAAGUACAACGCACAAAAUUACACAUUCUCUCUUUCACCGCACCUAAUCAGUGUGUCAUCAAGACUUACCUUUCAUAUGAAGUAAUUGUCUUUCACAAUGCAAUGCUCACAAUACUUUUGAUAUGCUUCUCAUCUGAUUUGUGCAAAUACAUUUGACCAACACUUAAUCCAACUGAUCUUAAUGGUUAAUCACUUAACCAUUUGGUAAACCUAUAUAUUUCCAUUUCAGCAAUACAGUAUAUGGAUUUUGAGAACUAUAGAAAUAAAAUAUGUGUUUGUAAGAACAUAUAAAAUAACCACACCUGAUGAAAACUCGUUAUUGCUAAUUGAUUUCAGAUGGGGUAACCACAAUUGGUCAUUAGAUAUAAAAGUGAGGGUCUAAACACUGGCAAUUUCUUUCAACAUGGACCAGGAUAGACAGCAAGGAAUUGGAAGAGCUCGUGGAGGAGGGAUCCGUCAGAGAGGUGGGCAUGGGAUCCGUCAGAGAGGUGGGCAUGGGGCCCAUCAAAGGGUUGGUCAUCGGAGAGGGGGAGGCAGAACUGUUGUCUCUAAUGAAGUCCGGGCCAUCGUCGUUGAUCAUGUGGUGAACCGAGGCCUUACUAUGGCAGAAGCUGCCAGAUUAGUUGAGCCAAAUCUAAAAAGUCAAUUCUAUCAUCCGAACCUUUCGCCAAGAAAACCGAAUUAACAGAAAACCCCAUAGUGGUGGUCGUGGCCGUGUGCUGACCCACCAGCAAGAGUUGGCAGUGGUGGAAAUGGUGAGGGCCAGGAAUGAUAUACGGCUGUCAGAAAUAAAGCAGGCAAUUGAGGAGAACAAUGACACCUUUGCCAAUGUGGCAUCCAUCAGCCUACCAACAGUAGCCCGCCUUUUAAAGCGGCACCAGGUAUCAAUGAAACACAUUUACCUGGCGCCUUUUGAGAGAAACAAUGACCGGGUGAAACAACUAAGGGCUGAGUAUGUUCAGAGGGUUAUGGUGCUUGACGCUGAUGUGAACCAUCACAAGUACGUUUUUGUUGAUGAAGCGGGCUUUAACCUUGCCAAAACUCGUCGCCGUGGACGUAACAUUAUCGGCCAACGGGCCACUGUCCAAGUGCCUGGACAACGUGGAGGGAACAUCUCAAUGUGCGCAGCUAUCUCUGAAGAUGGUGUCCUAGGACGUAGGCCAUUACUUGGCUCCUAUAAUGCUACACAUCUUAUUGAGUUUCUCAAUGAAAUUGAGCUGGCCUGUCAAGGUGAAGGGGUCACAUAUGUAAUUGUGUGGGACAAUGUCAGUUUUCACCACGCAGAGGUAGUUCAAGCAUGGUUUCAGACCCAUCCUCGAUUCAUGACCCUCUAC
ensembl:lncRNA